rnacentral:rRNA from 1 species
UACAGAGGUCCCAAGCGUUGUUCGGAUUCACUGGGCGUAAAGGGUGCGUAGGCGGUCGGGUAAGUCUGAUGUGAAAUCUCACAGCUUGAACUGUGAAACUGCAUUGGAUACUAUCCGGCUCGAGGAAUGGAGGGGAGACUGGAAUACUUGGUGUAGCAGUGAAAUGCGUAGAUAUCAAGUGGAACACCAGUGGCGAAGGCGAGUCUCUGGACAUUUCCUGACGCUGAGGCACGAAAGCCAGGGGAGCAAACGGG